rnacentral:rRNA from 1 species
GGUUAAGCGACUAAGCGUACACGGUGGAUGCCCUGGCAGUCAGAGGCGAUGAAGGACGUGCUAAUCUGCGAUAAGCGCCGGUAAGGUGAUAUGAACCGUUAUAACCGGCGAUUUCCGAAUGGGGAAACCCAGUGUGAUUCGUCACACUAUCAUUAACUGAAUCCAUAGGUUAAUGAGGCGAACCGGGGGAACUGAAACAUCUAAGUACCCCGAGGAAAAGAAAUCAACCGAGAUUCCCCCAGUAGCGGCGAGCGAACGGGGAGGAGCCCAGAGCCUGAAUCAGCAUGUGUGUUAGUGGAAGCGUCUGGAAAGGCGCGCGAUACAGGGUGACAGCCCCGUACACAAAAGCGCAUGUGCUGUGAGCUCGAUGAGUAGGGCGGGACACGUGGUAUCCUGUCUGAAUAUGGGGGGACCAUCCUCCAAGGCUAAAUACUCCUGACUGACCGAUAGUGAACCAGUACCGUGAGGGAAAGGCGAAAAGAACCCCGGCGAGGGGAGUGAAAAAGAACCUGAAACCGUGUACGUACAAGCAGUGGGAGCACCCUUUGGGGUGUGACUGCGUACCUUUUGUAUAAUGGGUCAGCGACUUAUAUUCUGUAGCAAGGUUAACCGUAUAGGGGAGCCGCAGGGAAACCGAGUCUUAACCGGGCGUUAAGUUGCAGGGUAUAGACCCGAAACCCGGUGAUCUAGCCAUGGGCAGGUUGAAGGUUGGGUAACACUAACUGGAGGACCGAACCGACUAAUGUUGAAAAAUUAGCGGAUGACCUGUGGCUGGGGGUGAAAGGCCAAUCAAACCGGGAGAUAGCUGGUUCUCCCCGAAAGCUAUUUAGGUAGCGCCUCGUGAAUUCAUCUCCGGGGGUAGAGCACUGUUUCGGCUAGGGGGCCAUCCCGGCUUACCAACCCGAUGCAAACUGCGAAUACCGGAGAAUGUUAUCACGGGAGACACACGGCGGGUGCUAACGUCCGUCGUGAAGAGGGAAACAACCCAGACCGCCAGCUAAGGUCCCAAAGUCAUGGUUAAGUGGGAAACGAUGUGGGAAGGCCCAGACAGCCAGGAUGUUGGCUUAGAAGCAGCCAUCAUUUAAAGAAAGCGUAAUAGCUCACUGGUCGAGUCGGCCUGCGCGGAAGAUGUAACGGGGCUAAACCAUGCACCGAAGCUGCGGCAGCGACACUCAGGCGUUGUUGGGUAGGGGAGCGUUCUGUAAGCCUGUGAAGGUGGCCUGUGAGGGUUGCUGGAGGUAUCAGAAGUGCGAAUGCUGACAUAAGUAACGAUAAAGCGGGUGAAAAGCCCGCUCGCCGGAAGACCAAGGGUUCCUGUCCAACGUUAAUCGGGGCAGGGUGAGUCGACCCCUAAGGCGAGGCCGAAAGGCGUAGUCGAUGGGAAACGGGUUAAUAUUCCCGUACUUGGUGUUACUGCGAAGGGGGGACGGAGAAGGCUAUGUUGGCCGGGCGACGGUUGUCCCGGUUUAAGCGUGUAGGUGUGUGUUCCAGGUAAAUCCGGUUCACUUUAACACUGAGGCGUGAUGACGAGGCACUACGGUGCUGAAGCAACAAAUGCCCUGCUUCCAGGAAAAGCCUCUAAGCAUCAGGUAACAUCAAAUCGUACCCCAAACCGACACAGGUGGUCAGGUAGAGAAUACCAAGGCGCUUGAGAGAACUCGGGUGAAGGAACUAGGCAAAAUGGUGCCGUAACUUCGGGAGAAGGCACGCUGACACGUAGGUGAAGUGAUUUACUCAUGGAGCUGAAGUCAGUCGAAGAUACCAGCUGGCUGCAACUGUUUAUUAAAAACACAGCACUGUGCAAACACGAAAGUGGACGUAUACGGUGUGACGCCUGCCCGGUGCCGGAAGGUUAAUUGAUGGGGUCAGCGCAAGCGAAGCUCCUGAUCGAAGCCCCGGUAAACGGCGGCCGUAACUAUAACGGUCCUAAGGUAGCGAAAUUCCUUGUCGGGUAAGUUCCGACCUGCACGAAUGGCGUAAUGAUGGCCAGGCUGUCUCCACCCGAGACUCAGUGAAAUUGAACUCGCUGUGAAGAUGCAGUGUACCCGCGGCAAGACGGAAAGACCCCGUGAACCUUUACUAUAGCUUGACACUGAACAUUGAGCCUUGAUGUGUAGGAUAGGUGGGAGGCUUUGAAGUGUGGACGCCAGUCUGCAUGGAGCCGACCUUGAAAUACCACCCUUUAAUGUUUGAUGUUCUAACGUGGACCCGUAAUCCGGGUUGCGGACAGUGUCUGGUGGGUAGUUUGACUGGGGCGGUCUCCUCCUAAAGAGUAACGGAGGAGCACGAAGGUUGGCUAAUCCUGGUCGGACAUCAGGAGGUUAGUGCAAUGGCAUAAGCCAGCUUGACUGCGAGCGUGACGGCGCGAGCAGGUGCGAAAGCAGGUCAUAGUGAUCCGGUGGUUCUGAAUGGAAGGGCCAUCGCUCAACGGAUAAAAGGUACUCCGGGGAUAACAGGCUGAUACCGCCCAAGAGUUCAUAUCGACGGCGGUGUUUGGCACCUCGAUGUCGGCUCAUCACAUCCUGGGGCUGAAGUAGGUCCCAAGGGUAUGGCUGUUCGCCAUUUAAAGUGGUACGCGAGCUGGGUUUAGAACGUCGUGAGACAGUUCGGUCCCUAUCUGCCGUGGGCGCUGGAGAACUGAGGGGGGCUGCUCCUAGUACGAGAGGACCGGAGUGGACGCAUCACUGGUGUUCGGGUUGUCAUGCCAAUGGCACUGCCCGGUAGCUAAAUGCGGAAGAGAUAAGUGCUGAAAGCAUCUAAGCACGAAACUUGCCCCGAGAUGAGUUCUCCCUGAGACUUAGAGUCUCCUGAAGGAACGUUGAAGACGACGACGUUGAUAGGCCGGGUGUGUAAGCGCAGCGAUGCGUUGAGCUAACCGGUACUAAUGAACCGUGAGGCUUAACCUU